AGUGAAAUUGCUGGUCCAUAUGGUAACUUUAGCUUAACAUUUUGAGGAACUGCCAAACUGCUUUGCAAAGUGAGUGUACUAUUUUACAUUCCCAUCAGUAAU
rnacentral:pre_miRNA from 2 species